UACGGAGGGUGCAAGCGUUAAUCGGAAUUACUGGGCGUAAAGCGCACGCAGGCGGUCUGUCAAGUCGGAUGUGAAAUCCCUGGGCUCAACCUGGGAACUGCAUUCGAAACUGGCAGGCUAGAGUCUUGUAGAGGGGGGUAGAAUUCCAGGUGUAGCGGUGAAAUGCGUAGAGAUCUGGAGGAAUACCGGUGGCGAAGGCGGCCCCCUGGACAAAGACUGACGCUUAGGUGCGAAAGCGUGGGGAGCAAACAGGAUUAGAUACCCUGGUAGUCCACGCCGUAAACGAUGUCGAUUUGGAGGUUGUGGCCUUGAGGCGUGGCUUCCGGAGCUAACGCGUUAAAUCGACCGCCUGGGGAGUACGGCCGCAAGGUUAAA
rnacentral:rRNA from 1 species